rnacentral:misc_RNA from 1 species
CUGCCAAACCAUUCAUAAUUUAAAGAAAUUUUACAUAAUUUAAUUCUGAACCGUUCAUAAAUUAAAGCAAUUUUAAUUAAAUUACAUAUUUAUUUAUAAUUAUAUAAAUAUAUUUAUGAAUUAUGUAGUUGAUCAAGUUUGUUUAAGAAUUUUUGGACAGAACUCCAAGUAGAUCCGCCCCUGCUUAUCUCCAAGAUAAUCUCGUAGAACUUGCUCUGAUCACAUAGAGACUUGGACACACUCUCCUUUUGCAAGCAUCUGUUAGCCCAGUCUACGAUCUUAGGGCACUCCUCUGCCAUGCUCAACUUUCCCAACGUCUCGUAUGUGUAGAAGGAGCUAUAGCAUGGAAUGAGUGAUAAAUCAACGUAACCGAAACUUUCACCUCCUAAGUAUGGCUUGUCUCCAAGCUCUUCCUCCAAUAUUUUAAAGCACUCAAUUAGCUCCUUCUUCGAAGCUCCAAUACCGAAAAUCUGUGGAACCCAUUGCAAGGAAAGUAUGAUAAAGCUUAUGGUAGUUUCAAGCAUAUGUCAAAAUAACUUCAUAAAUCUACCAAUCUCAAAGAAUUUAUUGAAAAAGAAAAUGAAUUUAAUUAGUGGGCUUAAUCUAACAAUUAACUCACCUUCUUGUCGACAGAGUCAGGCCAGAACUUGGCCUGAGCUCGUUGGUAAGAAUCAGAGGGCAACAAUGGAGACUUGUGGUUCCAAACCUCAUCAAUGUAUUGUACUAUUACCAUUGAGUCGCAAAUGGGUCUGCCAUUAUGGAUCAAGACUGGGAUUUGCUUGUUAACUGGGUUCAUCUUCAAAAGAAGAGGGCUCUUGUUGGUCAAAUCCUCUGGUCUGGACACAUACUUUAAUCCCUUUUCAGCCAAGGCUAUCCUCACCCUUGCUGCGAAAGGACUAGGAUACCACUCCAAUAGAAUUAGUUGGUCAUCCUCGGCCAUUAUUGCAAAAGAUUGAGAAGAAAAUUGAGUA